rnacentral:rRNA from 1 species
AGCUGCUUCUAUGACGUUAGCGGCGGACGGGUGAGUAACACGUGGGCAACCUGCCUAGUAAGACUGGGUAUAACUUCGGGAAACCCGAAGCUAAUUACCGGAUACGGAUCUUCUCCUUCAUGGGAGAUGAAUUGAAAGAUGGUUUCGGCUAUCACUUACAGAUGGGCCCGCGGGUGCAUUAGCUAGUUGGGUGAGGUAACGGCUCACCAAGGCAACGAUGCAUAGCCGACCCUGAGAGGGUGAUCGGCCACACUGGGACUGAGACACGGCCCAGACUCCUACGGGAGGCAGCAGUAGGGAAUCUUCCGCAAUGGACGAAAGUCUGACGGAGCAACGCCGCGUGAGUGAUGAAGGCUUUCGGGUCGUAAAACUCUGUUGUUAGGGAAGAACAAGUACGAGAGUAACUGCUCGUACCUUGACGGUACCUAACCAGAAAGCCACGGCUAACUACGUGCCAGCAGCCGCGGUAAUACGUAGGUGGCAAGCGUUAUCCGGAAUUAUUGGGCGUAAAGCGCGCGCAGGCGGUUUCUUAAGUCUGAUGUGAAAGCCCACGGCUCAACCGUGGAGGGUCAUUGGAAACUGGGGAACUUGAGUGCAGAAGAGAAAAGCGGAAUUCCACGUGUAGCGGUGAAAUGCGUAGAGAUGUGGAGGAACACCAGUGGCGAAGGCGGCUUUUUGGUCUGUAACUGACGCUGAGGCGCGAAAGCGUGGGGAGCAAACAGGAUUAGAUACCCUGGUAGUCCACGCCGUAAACGAUGAGUGCUAAGUGUUAGAGGGUUUCCGCCCUUUAGUGCUGCAGCUAACGCAUUAAGCACUCCGCCUGGGGAGUACGGUCGCAAGACUGAAACUCAAAGGAAUUGACGGGGGCCCGCACAAGCGGUGGGAGCAUGUGGUUUAAUUUGAAGCAACGCGAAGAACCUUACCAGGUCUUGACAUCCUCUGACAGACUCUAUGAGAUAGAGCGUUCCCCUUCGGGGGACAGAGUGACAGGUCCCGGUGCAUGGUUGUUCGUCAGCUCGUGAAAAUCGUGAGAUGUUGGGUCUAAAGUCCCGCAACGAGCGCAACGCCUUUGAUCUUAGUUGCGCAGCUAUCUUAGUUGGGCACUCUAAGGUGACUGCCGGUGACAAACCGGAGGAAGGUGGGGAUGACGUCAAAUCAUCAUGCCCCUUAUCGACCUGGGCUACACACGUGCUACAAUGGAUGGUACAAAGGGCUGCAAGACCGCGAGGUCAAGCCAAUCCCAUAAAACCAUUCUCAGUUCGGAUUGUAGGCUGCAACUCGCCUACAUGAAGCUGGAAUCGCUAGUAAUCGCGAUCAGC